UACGUAGGGGGCAAGCGUUGUCCGGAAUCAUUGGGCGCAAAGCGCGUGUAGGCGGCUGGGUAAGUCCGCUCUGAAAGCCCGGGGCUCAACCCCGGGAGGCGGGUGGAUACUGCUCAGCUCGAGUCCGGAAGAGGAGUGUGGAAUUCCUGGUGUAGCGGUGAAAUGCGCAGAUAUCAGGAGGAACACCAAUGGCGAAGGCAGCUUACUAAGGAGUAACUGACGCUGAUGCACGAAAGUGUGGGGAUCAAAACAGG
rnacentral:rRNA from 1 species